AUUGUAUACUAGGAGCCUGUAUUUCAGUGGUUGUCGUUUGUUUAUGUGUUACAUAUUUGUUUUUCGUUCAUUUUUUUUUUUUUAUAUAACUAAGGCCGUUAGUUUUCUCGUUUGAAUUGUUUUACAUUGUCAUAUAGGGGACUUUUAUAGCUGACUAUGCGGUAUGGGCUUUGCUCAUUGUUGAAGGUCGUACGAUGAUCUAUAAAUGUUAAUUUCUGUGUCAUUUUGGUCUCUUGUGGACAGCUGUCUCAUUGGCAAUCAUACCACAUCUUCUUUUUUUUUUAUUAUAGAUCCAACGCUGCAAUUUUCACAAAACAUUUUCCACCUUGUCGCACAUACAUAUGGAUACAAUCAUUACAGCUUAUUUCCUAAUGCAUGUGGAGCAAAACUUUGGUUAGCUUGCUUGCUUUGUUUGUAUAUUGUACAAAAUAUA
rnacentral:lncRNA from 1 species